GAUGAACGCUGGCGGCGUGCCUAAUACAUGCAAGUCGAGCGAACAGACGAGGAGCUUGCUCCUCUGACGUUAGCGGCGGACGGGUGAGUAACACGUGGAUAACCUACCUAUAAGACUGGGAUAACUUCGGGAAACCGGAGCUAAUACCGGAUAAUAUAUUGAACCGCAUGGUUCAUUGGGAAAAGAGGGUUUUGUUGUCAUUAUUAGAGGGAUCCGCGCCGCAUUAGCUAGUUGGUAAGGUAACGGCUUACCAAGGCAACGAUGCGUAGCCGACCUGAGAGGGUGAUCGGCCACACUGGAACUGAGACACGGUCCAGACUCCUACGGGAGGCAGCAGUAGGGAAUCUUCCGCAAUGGGCGAAAGCCUGACGGAGCAACGCCGCGUGAGUGAUGAAGGUCUUCGGAUCGUAAAACUCUGUUAUUAGGGAAGAACAAAUGUGUAAGUAACUAUGCACGUCUUGACGGUACCUAAUCAGAAAGCCACGGCUAACUACGUG
rnacentral:rRNA from 1 species